AGUGAACGCUGGCGGUAGGCCUAACACAUGCAAGUCGAACGGCAGCACAGUAAGAGCUUGCUCUUACGGGUGGCGAGUGGCGGACGGGUGAGGAAUACAUCGGAAUCUACUUUUUCGUGGGGGAUAACGUAGGGAAACUUACGCUAAUACCGCAUACGACCUACGGGUGAAAGCAGGGGAUCUUCGGACCUUGCGCGAUUGAAUGAGCCGAUGUCGGAUUAGCUAGUUGGCGGGGCAAAGGCCCACCAAGGCGACGAUCCGUAGCUGGUCUGAGAGGAUGAUCAGCCGCACUGGAACUGAGACACGGUCCAGACUCCUACGGGAGGCAGCAGUGGGGAACAUUGGACAAUGGGCGCAAGCCUGAUCCAGCCAUACCGCGUGGGUGAAGAAGGCCUUCGGGUUGUAAAGCCCUUUUGUUGGGAAAGAAAAGCAGCAGGUUAAUACCCCGCUGUUCUGACGGUACCCAAAGAAUAAGCACCGGCUAACUUCGUG
rnacentral:rRNA from 1 species